AGAGUUUGAUCCUGGCUCAGGAUGAACGCUAGCGACAGGCUUAACACAUGCAAGUCGAGGGGCAGCGAGGGCGUAGCAAUACGCCUGUCGGCGACCGGCGCACUGGUGAGUAACACGUAUGCGACCUGCCCCCUACAGGGGUAUAACCCGUAGAAAUGCGGACUAAUCCCCCAUAGUCCUGGGUGCUGCAUGGCAUUCAGGGGAAAGGCCAGCCGGUAGGGGAUGGGCAUGCGGCGCAUUAGCUAGUUGGCGGGGCAACGGCCCACCAAGGCGACGAUGCGUAGGGGUUCUGAGAGGAAGGUCCCCCACACUGGUACUGAGACACGGACCAGACUCCUACGGGAGGCAGCAGUGAGGAAUAUUGGUCAAUGGGCGCAGGCCUGAACCAGCCAAGUCGCGUGAGGGAUGACGGUCCUACGGAUUGUAAACCUCUUUUGUCGGGGAGUAACGUGCGGGACGGGUCCCGUAUUGAGAGUACCCGAAGAAAAAGCAUCGGCUAACUCCGUGCCAGCAGCCGCGGUAAUACGGAGGAUGCGAGCGUUAUCCGGAUUUAUUGGGUUUAAAGGGUGCGCAGGCGGCGCGCCAAGUCAGCGGUCAAAGUUCCGGGCUCAACCCGGUGUCGCCGUUGAAACUGGCGUGCUCGAGUGCGUGCGAGGAAGGCGGAAUGCGUUGUGUAGCGGUGAAAUGCAUAGAUAUGACGCAGAACUCCGAUUGCGAAGGCAGCUUUCCAGCGCGCUACUGACGCUGAGGCACGAAAGCGUGGGGAUCGAACAGGAUUAGAUACCCUGGUAGUCCACGCAGUAAACGAUGACUACUAGCUUUCCGGGAUGAUUGAGUCCUGGGAGGCACAGCGAAAGCGUUAAGUAGUCCACCUGGGGAGUACGCCGGCAACGGUGAAACUCAAAGGAAUUGACGGGGGCCC
rnacentral:rRNA from 1 species